CCCGCUGAAGUUAAGCAUAUCAAUAAGCGGAGGAAAAGAAACUAACAAGGAUUCCCCUAGUAACUGCGAGUGAAGCGGGAAAAGCUCAAAUUUAAAAUCUGGUGGCCUUUGGCCAUCCGAGUUGUAAUUUAGAGAAGCGUCUUCCGCGCUGGACCGUGCACAAGUCUCCUGGAAUGGAGCGUCGUAGAGGGUGAGAAUCCCGUCUUUGGCACGGAUGCCCAGUGCUUCUGUGAUGCGCUCUCGAAGAGUCGAGUUGUUUGGGAAUGCAGCUCAAAAUGGGUGGUGAACUCCAUCUAAAGCUAAAUAUUGGCGAGAGACCGAUAGCGAACAAGUACCGUGAGGGAAAGAUGAAAAGCACUUUGGAAAGAGAGUAAAACAGUACGUGAAAUUGUUGAAAGGGAAACGCUUGAAGUCAGUCGCGUCUGCCGGAACUCAGCCUUGCUUCUGCUUGGUGCACUUUCCGGCUUGACGGGCCAGCAUCGGUUUCGAGUGGCGGACACUGGCGAGGGGAAGGUGGCAGCUCCGGCUGUGUUAUAGCCCCUCGUCGCAAACGCCGCCCGGGACCGAGGAAUCCGGCGCAAGCCUGGGAUGCUGGCGUAAUGGCUUUAAACGACCCGUCUUGAAACACGG
rnacentral:rRNA from 1 species